UGCCAAUAGGUGGCGCUAUGAGUAUUUCUAAAUUUAUGAAUGUGGAUGUGUUCAGAACCGGACUGGUGUCCAUCACAUCAAGUUUGGUCCGGAUUGCAUCAUUUCCAGCUGAGAUAUUAAUAAUUCAAUUUUCAUGGCGAGAAAUCGAAUUUCGCCGCGCCGCCACAGACACGCCCCUUGACGACGAGUCACCAUUUUCUCUGGGAAUCAUCAUCAAUGUGUUCUGGCAUAUGUCACCACAUUUGAGGUGAAUCUGAUCAACGUACAUCAAAGUGUAAAAAAUGUCAAUUUCCUGCUACCACAAGGUGGCGCUAUGACUGUCAAUGUACAUGACCACAUGGAUGUCGUCAGGGCUGGACCCUGAUCACACAUGUAAAAUUUCAGGCAGAUUGGAGCAUGUACAGCUGAGUUAGACACCACUUCCUGUUUCAUGGCGAAGGAUCAAUAUUUCUGGGGGUCGCCAUGGCCACGCCCUUUGACUUUUGCAGAGCAUUUUGAUAACUUUUCAUCAGGAGGCAGUCUUGCAUAUGCUGGCCCAAUUUGACGUCUCUCGGACUUACCCCCGCUGAGUUAUUAAUCUCAUCACACUUCACAGCUAAUUCAAGAUGGCCGACUUUCUGUUGGGUUUAGGGCGUGGUCAUGAUUGACUUUUUCGUGGGUCCUGAUGUGCUGCAUAUGCAUACACAUUUUUGUAGCUGUGGAUGAAACACGCUGCCAGUUGGCCUAAUGACAACUUUUUGCAACUUUGUAGGGGGCGCUAUGGAGCGAUUUUGCCAGACACAUGUGCAACUCCCACAAAAAAUCAAAUUUUUCGCCGGUCCUAAUGUGCAUGCCAAGUCUCACGUGUUUUGGGGUAUGAUAAGGCCGCCAAAAAUGCAAUUCAAAAGUUCGCCAAAGAAUAAUAAUAAACUAGAGAGGCGACACAUUCACAUAGAAAAUCCAACAAUUCCUUCUGUUUUUACAGUUUGUGACUCUGGUAAAUGGUGUCAUUUUUCAAAGCUGGUGGGUUUUGGGCUUCACAGAUUGAACCUAAAUGCUUUUCUUAAACAAACUGCUGAGCUGCUGCACAGUGAAAUGUUUGAGUGGAGCUCAGGAUGAAAGCAUCAGAGCUGUUUUACAUGUUUUUAUGUUCAGCUAAUAUCAUUUCCUCUGGACAAUGUUUGUGGUGUUAGAAGUGGACGUUUAUAGGGAGUUUUCAGUUGUGAUACUUUAAUGCAUAAAUAUUUGCAGUGGUGGUUUCACUGCAAGCAUCUACUGAUGUCACCAGUGAAGUAAAUAAAAACAGCAUUUGUUGAACUUUACGCCUCUCAGUGUCUGCAGUUAGUUUAGCUGAAUCAAUGCAAAGAUAUUUCUAUUUUUCUACAUGACAGGAAUGUCAGUGAAAUCCAAAUGCUAAGAAUAAACAAGUGAUCUGCCUGGUCACAGAUCCCACUUUAAUCCAAAAUAAAGACUUUGCAAGGAAAUGAACUUGAAAUAUGAGCCACCAGUAAAAGUUGUGAUCAGACAGAAGGGCCUGUAUUUUAUCUUUGGAGAAGUUUAACAUGUAAGUUUGUGCAGCUGAUCAGUGGUGAGGCCUGUGGAUGACUGGAGAUGUGUGUGGACACUUAGACGAAGCAGCAAAUGUGUUGAAAAUGAGUUGUCUUCUCAGAGUCUUGAAGAUGUUUUGUCAGAGCUAAGAAAGAAGUAAGAGAUCCUGCAGGUGAUUGUUGAGUGGUGUUGAGGAAUUUGAAUGUAGAGGAAUAGCAAAGAGAUUUUGAAGAUAUUUAAGCCAUAAGUUGUAUUUUAUUUGUUUGCUGUUCUCUCCCAUUUGUAGUCAAGAGAAGUGAUUUGACAUGAAGAAUGUGAUUUGUGUGGCUUUGAAAUUGUGUUAAAAUGUAAAUGUGACUUUUUAGUAUUGUGUUUUUUAGCGUGUUCUUUAAAAGUUGUAGGUAGAUUAUGUUCUUUUUUUGAUUUUGUGGAUUGUUUUUUUUUUCUUUCAGUGUUGAUGUCACCGCCUUGACGAAUAGAAGAAAAGCCUGUAUUUGGCAACUUCCUGGUUUUGCAGGAACCACCCUUCAACUCCAAUCCACUGACACUCCACACCCCAGACCACAACCUUUCCACUCCGCUAUCAUCCUCCGCAAGGUUCCCAGUGGGGAUUCGAACCGUGACCCUCCACAUGACAGACACACAACCUAUGUGUGAGCUAUCUUUCACACAAGGUCCUUCAUGGACUUUGUUGUAAUGAUGGUUGACAGAGGUUGUCAUACAGCCAAAGUAUGUAUAUAUUGUAAAUAAAGCUGCUGUAACAAUGUAAAUUUCCCCUGGAGUGGGGAGAAAUAAAGAACUUUAUCUUAUCUUUAUCUUAUCUUAAAAAGUGUCAAAAGAGCCCUGGGCUGGAUUCGAACCAAAAACCUCCUGGAUGAGAGGCAGAUAACUUACCACUGCGCUAUCCUUCCUACUGGGUGUAACUGUUAGUUUUCGUAAAUGAUGGUACACAAAACUAUUAAGGAGGUGAAGAUAAUAAAGGUACUAAGGUGGAUUUCAACCGGGGACCUUCAACAUGCCAGGCAAAAAACUUACCUCUACACCACCUGUCCUACAAGAUGCUGCUCUAACUUUGCUUAAAUGAUGCUAGCAAUUAGUACUGGAGCAUCCAAAGGACACAUAAAAAGUGUGAGUGGGGAUUUGAACCAUGGACCUUCAACAUGUGAGGCACAGAACUUACCUCUGCACCACAUUUUCUACAAGGUGUUGUUGUAAAUUGGCUUAAAUGAUGGCAUCAAUCAGUACUGGAGCAAUCAAAGGACAAAUAAAAAGUGUGAGUGGAGAUUUGAAUCAUGUGAGGUACAGAACUUACAUUGUAGGUCUGUUUCUGAGACUGAAUACACCCAAUCUCGUCUGAUCUGCAAAGCUAAGCAGGGUUGGGCCUGGUUAGUAUUUGGAUGGGAAACUACCUGGGAAUACCAGGUGCUGUAAGGUUUUUACUUCUCCUCACAACCUGAACAAGACACUGCUGGUCAUUCACUAGAGACAGCUAUCAACUAAAACCUCUUGGUUUCUUUAUUAUACACUCUAUGAGGUGGAUAAGCUGCAGCUCAUGCUGAUUUAUUGCUGGUUCUGGUUGGAGCCAAAGAACAAAGGCGUCACCUGUUGGAGCAGCUGAUGUCCUGCAGCCUCUUCACCACAGAAAGCCUCUGACACCUUCAAUUCUUUACACUCUGACUGCAAGACACCAAUCACAUAGGAACAUAUACAUGUGUGGAACAAAGAGCUGAGCUGACACUCAACAUGUGUUUGACCAUUUAUUGAUAAAGACAUUCAAACAUGUCUAGAGAUAGAACACCAACGCACGGUGUAAGAAAGGUCAGAACAGACUUCACCUGCUCAGGAAACUGAGGUCCUUCGGGGUGCAGGGAGCAAUUCUGAGGACCUUUUAUGGUUGUGUGGUGGUAUCAGCCAUCCUGUAUGGAGUGGUCUGCUGGAGCAGCAGCAUCACGGCUGCAGACAGGAAGAGACUAAAGAAACUGGUUAAGAAAGCAAGCUCUGUCCUGGGCUGGUGGUAGACAGGAGGAUGAUGACAAAGCUGUUGUCUAUCAUGGAGGACAUCUCCCACCCCCUGCAGGAAACAGGACCAUCACCGGCAGCUCCUUCAGGGACAGACUGCUUCACCCACGAUGUUUGAAGGAGGUCCUUCCUUCCUGCAGCAGUCAGACUGUGUUCAAUCAAGCCUGCUCCCAGUAGUUCAGAUCACCCAUGAAGUAACUGCAAUAAAAUGUAAAUAAGUCAAUAUGUGCAAUUUCACAAGGUUUUUUUUUUUUACAAGCAUUUCUAUUUCUUCUCUAAGGAGAAAGCAUCUAUUUAUAUCUGUGCACUGAGUGCUGCUUUUCUUUUUACUUUUUUUCCUAUCUGCUACUGCCACACUGAAAAUUUCCCCACUGCAGAAUCUACCUAUCCAUCCAUCUAUCUAUGGUCCAUCUACCUCCCUACCUAUCUAUCCAUCCAUCCAUCCAUCCAUCCAUCCAUCCAUCUCUCUCACAGGUGUGGGGGUUGAUUCACCUGUUCUCAAUCACCUUAAUCCACGAAGGCCCGGUUCUUCAUUCUUCCGCUCUCUGCCAGACCAGAGACUUUGAAACCAGAACCUUUCUCCUACAAUUAGUCUGGUUUCCCCUUUUUGUUUUCACCUUGGUUUAGUUAUCCUUUCUGUGUUGGUUUUAGUUUCAUUCGUUAAAUAAACUCCUUGUAAUCUUUGA